AGAACAACAUGACUUGCAUUGUGAUUCACAACGUACAUUUAUUUUAUUUUAUUUCAUUUUGACGUCAUCAAAGUUAUGAAUUGGUGUCUAUGGCUCUGUCACAAUAUAAAAAAGAUGUGGAGACUCUAGAAAGGGUGCAGAGAAGAGCAACAAGGAUGAUGAGGGGACUGGAGGCUAAAACGUAUGAAGAACGGUUGCUGGAUUUGGAUGACCUUUUCCCUGACCACUUCCAGGAGAUACUAUUUUCCCACAAUCAUCCUCAUUAUUAAUGACACUGAUAUAUUCUUUUACAAACAACCGGGCUCAAAGAAAAGGGCAGCAUCAGCUCCAGAAGCAUUUCCAAGCAAUUCGGCAUGUAUUUAAGCAGAGGCCAUAUAAGAAGAAAUGGAUGCUGUUUCAUAUAAUGUAUUUAUGCAUAAAUAUUUUUUUUAAAAAAAAACACUUGAUGUCAUUUUAAA